ACCUAUUCGUGUUUUGAAACCUACGCGUCAGCGACGGCGUAGGUGAUGGCACCAAACCUAACCUGAUGCUUGGUUAUCAGCUAUGUGCUUAUCAAAUUGGACCUUGGUACAGACGUCUACCUGAAAACCAAGUUACCAGACAAUUCUGACCGUUGUCAAACGCGUGUUUACUAUAUUCAUAUUGGAGCAUGUGCAUAAUAAAGUCCUGAGUGUCGAUCUGUGGAGAUUAGACGAACUCUAGACAGUAUACUUUAUGUCGAAUAACUAUUUGUACAUACACAUGGC